CUACGGGACGCAGCAGUGAGGAAUAUUGCACAAUGGGGGGAACCCUGAUGCAGCAACGCCGCGUGGAGGAUAACGCAUUUCGGUGUGUAAACUCCUUUUAUAUGUCAAGAAAAUGACGGUAGCAUAUGAAUAAGCACCGGCUAACUCCGUGCCAGCAGCCGCGGUAAUACGGAGGGUGCAAGCGUUACUCUGAAUCACUGGGCGUAAAGGACGCGUAGGCGGGUUGGAAAGUCAGGUGUGAAAUCCUACAGCUUAACUGUAGAACUGCACUUGAAACUUCUAAUCUAGAGUAUGGGAGGGGGAGAUGGAAUUAGUGGUGUAGGGGUAAAAUCCGUAGAUAUCACUAGGAAUACCUAAAGCGAAGGCGAUCUCCUGGAACAUUACUGACGCUAAGGCGUGAAAGCGUGGGGAGCAAACAGGAUUAGAUACCCCUGUAGUC
rnacentral:rRNA from 1 species